ensembl:lncRNA
UUUCAAAACAGCGACAAGCGACAAAUCUAGCUUCUUUUUCAGCUGCUAUUGGUGACUUUUGGCGACUUUUUGAGGUGAAAGCACUAGCCUUGACCAGAGUGACGAUGACUCACUGGUUCUGUGAGCUAGGACAGUCUGUCUGUGUCUGGAGGGAGGUCUGGAGUAGGUCUAACUCUGCCAUUUAGAUUGUUAAUAUAUAUUGUAUAUUGUGUGGCGGCAGUAGCCAGGUGGUAGAGCGGGUUGGCUGGUAACCUGAUGUAUCGAGGUGUCUUUGGCAAAGCACCUAACCCUGACUGAUGUCGCGAUGUGAUGUCGAAUCCAGACAGAAGCGCCCCAAGGCCAUGAAGCGGCGAGAGCCGAGCGGGAAAAAAUGAUGAUGAUGAUGUAUACAAAAAAAUGUUAUGUUUAAAUGAGAAACAAUUGUUUGAUGAAAUUGUAAUCUUUUUGAUUGGAUAAAACAAAUUAUUUCUGAUAGAUAUUUCUUAAAUGAGAAACAAUUGUUGGAGUGAGUCAAUAUUUUUUUGUUUAGGAUUUAACAUACGAUUUAAAUGUAUUAACUUCAUUCAAAGAAUAGAAUUAUACUUGGUGCCAAGUUGUAUUAUUUUGUUUUUAUGAACAUAGGAAAUAUUGUUUGAGGCAAGCUAUAUAUUUGUCAUUGGCUCAAGUUAUGUAAUAUAGAUGUGAACCAUUACCCUUGUUUUUUUUAAUUGGUUCAACAGAAGGCUUUUUCCAGUGCAGAGCCUGGGUGCUGAACAGCUGAAUGACCGGGCACCCAUUGUAAUGAGUCGUGAUGUGGGGAUACAUAGUAGUCCAGCAGAAGUUGAGCGGAGGGAGCGGGAGGGAAUGUAUUCUUGGAGGAGGUCGCAGAGGUAACUGGGGACCUAUUAUGACCUAGCCUACAAAAUUGAUCUAGACUUGUUCAAGAGUAAAAUAAAAAAUACAUAUAACACUGCAUCUUUUUUGUUAAACAUAGUAAUAUAUAAAGCUUGGUGCAUAUCUGAGCUGAACCCGGUCAUUAGUUCAAUUACCGCUACUUCAGGAGACCGGGCGGACACAUGCCUGAGCAAUUAAAGAAUUAGCUCCCAGUUUUGUCAGGUUCAAAGAAAAAUCAAACAUGGUCAUUUGUUCUGUUAACAUGCCUCUUGUGCUGCC